rnacentral:rRNA from 1 species
CACGUAGGGCGCAAGCGUUGUCCGGAAUUAUUGGGCGUAAAGAGCUCGUAGGCGGUCUGUUGCGUCUGCUGUGAAAACCCGGGGCUUAACCCCUGGCUUGCAGUGGAUACGGACAGACUAGAGGUAGGUAGGGGAGAAUGGAAUUCCCGGUGUAGUGGUGAAAUGCGCAGAUAUCGGGAGGAACACCGGUGGCGAAGGCGGUUCUCUGGGCCUUACCUGACGCUGAGGAGCGAAAGCGUGGGGAGCGAACAGG